rfam:Triticum aestivum genome assembly, contig: Triticum_aestivum_CS42_TGACv1_scaffold_405234_5BL
AAGCUACUCCCUUCGUCCGAAAAUACUUGUCCUUAAAAUGAAUAAAAUGGAUGUAUCUAUAACUAAAAUAAGUUUAGAUCCAUCCUUUUUAGGACAAAUAUUUCCGGACGAAGGGAGCACAUG